GUGAAUCAUCAAAUUUUUGAACGCAAAUUGCACUCUCUGGUAUUCCGGAGAGUAUGCCUGUUUGAGGGUCAGUAUAAUCAAAAUCGGAGCGAUGCUUCUUGGGUGAAGCACCGGAGUUUGGGCAAUUUUAACUCUUUAAGAGACUUAAAAUCAACAUUUUUUUUUUGCUCACUCUGAGACGUACAUAAUUUUUUUUAUUUGUCUACCCUGGUGGCAAAACUUUUACUAGAUCGUGAACGACG
rnacentral:misc_RNA from 1 species